UUUAGGUUUCAAACAUUUGAUCUAAGCCAUUUCAUAAAAUUAUUUAAAUUUAAAGCUAAUUUAGAUUGGAAGGAUAAUAAAAUGAAUUAUGCUCAACUUAUACAUCUAUAACUAAAUGGCACAAAGUUAAAAUAUUAAGUCUUUUGGAAAACAGAUGAUAAAUUAAUUGUUUUAUGACAUGUUAAACAGAUGACUCCUCUAAACUAGAGACAUCAGUUUAGGUUUCAGACAUUUGAUCUAAGCCAUUUCAUAAAAUUAUUUAAAUUUAAAUCUAAUUUAGAUUGGAAGGAUAAUAAAAUGAAUUAUGCUCAACUUAUACAUCUAUAACUAGAUGGCACAAAGUUAAAAUAUUAAGUCUUUUGGAAAACAGAUGAUAAACUAAUUGUUUUAUGAUAUGGAAAACAGAUGACUCCUCUAAACUAGAGACAUCAGUUUAGGUUUCAGACAUUUGAUCUAAGCCAUUU
rnacentral:lncRNA from 1 species